rnacentral:lncRNA from 1 species
GGUAUCUGGAGUGUAUUCUCGGUCUGGAAGGGUGGAGAAUGGUUUUGGAAGCUUGUUUGGUGGAGGAAAACCGAAAAUGAGUGUAGUAAGGAGAGAGAAAUGCACAUUUAAUUUUUUACCUCAUUUGGCCAUGCACAAUAUAAAGCACAUUUACCAUAGAAAGAAUAUUUCCCUUUUGGUCUUGACCCUUUGCUAGCUUGACGUGAAUUGCAUUGAAGAAGAGGAUGGUUGUGUUUGUUUUUAUUCCCUUUGACUUUGCACAUGUGGCACCUUGGUAGAAGAGAUUAUAGAACCUUUUGGAGUGUGGAAUAUGGAAGGCAACGUUUUUUUUACAUCUUCGCUUAGUUGAUGUAACUGAAUGGUGUAAUUUAGAUUUGAUAUUAACACUGCGUUCGCUUAGUUCACUUUUAUGAAAACAGGGUUGACCUUCGCUUAGUUGGUUAACUUUGUUGGAUUAGAGGUUUGAGUCGCAACUUUGUUUUGUUGAUCUGUGAUUGGAAACAUUGUGAUUAAGUUAAUGACCAACCGUUUUUAUUUUGUAUGUGAUUUCGUCUUGCAAUUCUGUUUUUACAUUUCUGUUGCAUCCGUGUUUUAAUUUAGUUUAUCCGCAUUCACAAUCCUUUCACACCCCCCACUUUGUGUUUGACUUGAUUCUCGUACCGCAAAAUUGGUCCUUGAGAGACGACCUAGGAGUCAUUCCUAGCUAUACUGCACUUCUAAUAUGCAAUUAAAUUUGUAUGGGCCACGACACCCAUCAAAUUUUGGCGCCGUUGCCGGGGACCAACGAUUCGGUUUUAGGUCUUUUGUUGUGUUAGUGUGUGUUGUCUUGUCUUGUGUUGUGAGUGUGAGUGUGAUGUUUUGUUUUGUGUGUUCGUCAUUGUGUGUUGCAUUUGGGUAGCUUUAGUUGCAUAUUUUCAUUGCAUUCUUCUUUUCCCCCCUCUUUCUACAUGUCUACCUAUUUUGGUUAUGUGGAUAUUGUUUCUUCUGCCUAUGUCCAUGACUUUGAUUCUCCUUCGGCAAUUAACUCUGAUAUUGCUUCUCAUGCAUAUUCUGCUGACUUUCAUGUUGAGAAUAGUGGUUCCUCCUCCAUCUCAUGAGAGUGCUCCUAGGGAGCCGUUUCCACUUGAUGAGGACACUACAGGAAAACUUUAAUUUACCGAAGGAUGAUUACGGACGGCCUGUAGGCCUUCGGUAAAUCUUAAUUACCGAAGGCUUUUCCGAAGGCCAUGUUAGGUGUACAUUACCGAGGGGCUUUGGCCGUCUGUAUUGGCACAGUGACUGUAGCGAAGGAAUAUGACCGUCGGUAUGUUGCAAAGACUUAAUGAAAUAAAAGUUUGGGAUUUCCCUCUCCCAUGAUGUUAUUUUCGCGAAAUUCCUGAGUGUUCUUCCC